GUUAGGGGUGGACCCACCUUAC
rnacentral:snRNA from 1 species